rnacentral:lncRNA from 1 species
AGUUUGAAUUCAAAUUUGAUUUGAAUUCAAAUAUGUAACCACUUGUCUUUAUCCUCUCAUGUGGAUAAGACAUAUUUUGAACUGUUUUAAAAGAGAUAGGGAGCCGGGGCGUGCGUAGAAAAAUUUUGAGAAAGAAAGUGGGGCGUGAGGAAGCCUUCUGCGUGAGGUAAAGGUCCAAAACCUUCCAAGAAAAAAAGAAAGAAAAGAAAGAAAAUUAGGGCGCAGGGUUUUUGGUGUGUACCCUAGGGUUUCUACCUAGGGUUCGGAAGUGAGAUUGGUGUGCCACGAGUGUCGUGAGUCCACCAAAUUUCAGGAAGAGAUCCAUC